rnacentral:rRNA from 1 species
AAUAGAUACCCUGGUAGUCCACGCCGUAAACGAUGGAUGCUAGCUGUUAUGCGUAUCGACCCGUGUAGUAGCGAAGCUAACGCGUUAAGCAUCCCGCCUGGGGGAGUACGAACGCAAGUUUAAAACUACAAAGGAAUUGACGGGGACCCGGCCACAAGCGGUGGAGCGUGUUCUUUAAUUCGAGGCUAAGCGAAGAACCUUACCAGGGCUUGACAUCCUUGGAAUUUCUCCGAAAGGAGAGAGUACUUUAUUGGACCAAGUGACAGGUGCUGCAUGGCCGUCGUCAGCUCGUGUCGUGAGAUGUUUGGUUAAGUCCAUUAACGAGCGCAACCCUUAUGAAUAGUUGUAUUUUUCUAUUCAGACUGCCCCGGUAACGGGGAGGAAGGGGGGGAGUGAUGUCAGGUCAGUAUUGCCCUUACGCCCUGGGCUAGAAACGCGCUACAAUGGCCGGUACAAUGCGCUGCCAAUCCGCGAGGGGGAGCAAAUCGCAUCAAAGCCGGUCCCAGUUCGGAUAAGAGGCGUGAAACUCGCUCUUUGAAGCCGGAAUCGCUAGU